AACCCUUAUUGUUAGUUGCCAUCAUUCAGUUGGGCACUCUAGCGAGACUGCCGGUAAUAAACCGGAGGAAGGUGGGGAUGACGUCAAAUCAUCAUGCCCCUUAUGACCUGGGCUACACACGUGCUACAAUGGCUGGUACAACGAGUCGCAAGUCGGUGACGGCAAGCUAAUCUCUUAAAGCCAGUCUCAGUUCGGAUUGUAGGCUGCAACUCGCCUACAUGAAGUCGGAAUCGCUAGUAAUCGCGGAUCAGCACGCCGCGGUGAAUACGUUCCCGGGCCUUGUACACACCGCCCGUCACACCACGAGAGUUUGUAACACCCGAAGUCGGUGAGGUAACCUUUUAGGAGCCAGCCGCCUAAGGUGGGAUAGAUGAUUGGGGUGAAGUCGUAACAAGG
rnacentral:rRNA from 1 species